rnacentral:rRNA from 1 species
UACGUAGGGGGCAAGCGUUGUCCGGAAUUAUUGGGCGUAAAGAGCGUGUAGGCGGCCAGAUAAGUCCGCUGUGAAAUCUCGAGGCUCAACUUCGAGCUGUCGGUGGAAACUAUCUGGCUAGAGUCCGGACGAGGAGAAUUGGGAAUUCCUGGUGUAGCGGUGAAAUGCGCAGAUAUCAGGAAGAACACCCGUGGCGAAGGCGGUUCUCUGGGACGGUACUGACGCUGGAGACGCGAAAGCGUGGGGAGCGAACAGG